UCCAGACUCCUACGGGAGGCAGCAGUGGGGAAUAUUGCACAAUGGGGGAAACCCUGAUGCAGCAACGCCGCGUGAGUGAAGAAGUCAUUCGUGAUGUAAAGCUCUAUCAGCAGGGAAGAAAAUGACGGUACCUGAGUAAGAAGCCCCGGCUAACUACGUGCCAGCAGCCGCGGUAAUACGUAGGGGGCAAGCGUUAUCCGGAUUUACUGGGUGUAAAGGGAGCGUAGACGGCAGUGCAAGUCUGAAGUGAAAGGCGGGGGCCCAACCCCCGGACUGCUUUGGAAACUGUGCUGCUAGAGUGCAGGAGAGGCAAGUGGAAUUCCUAGUGUAGCGGUGAAAUGCGUAGAUAUUAGGAGGAACACCAGUGGCGAAGGCGGCUUGCUGGACUGUAACUGACGUUGAGGCUCGAAAGCGUGGGGAGCAAACAGGAUUAGAUACCCGCGUA
rnacentral:rRNA from 1 species